rnacentral:lncRNA from 1 species
UACAGAAUUCGAAUAAAAAUAUACAAGUCUCAGAGUAUAGUUCUCGAAUAGAACAAAACUGAAAGUAAAGAUAACUCAAGGGCACGUCUGGAAUGAACCGCUACCUCUCGAGUAUGUCUCGAAGCUCAAUCUGCUAAAGAAACUACUAAGCCGAAUCUGAGAGAGAGCUGUCAACCUACACAAUUGUGUAGAAGCAAGGGUGAGUACCGAAAACCACAGGUACUCGCAAGUAACUCUAAACUAAGCAAAACUAGCAGCUACAAACAACUCCUUUCAAUCCCAACCGAACCACC